GACGAACGCUGGCGGCGUGCCUAAUACAUGCAAGUCGAACGCAGUGGGGACGGGUGAGUAACACGUGGGUAACCUCCCGUCAGAGGGGAUAACACUUGGAAACAGGUGCUAAACCGAUACUGAUGGAUGGACCCGCGGUGCAUUAGCUAGUUGGUGAGGUAACGGCUCACCCAGGCCACGAUGCAUAGACGGACUGGUAAGGUGACCGGCCACACUGGGACUGAGAGAAGGCCCAAACUCAUACGGGAGGCAGCAUGAGGGGAUCUUCGUGAAUGGGCGAAAGCAUGACCGGGCAAGGGCCCGUGAGUGAAGAAGGUUUUCGGGGCGGAAAGCUCUGUUGUUAGAGAAGCGGUAACUAACCAGAAAGGGCCGGCUAACUACGUGCCAGCAGCCGCGGUAAUUC
rnacentral:rRNA from 1 species